UUCCCUUAUCUGAAGCCUCCUUCGAUCAACUUCCUGUAACGCCUUCUUUCUCCAUUGAUUUAUACCUUAAAUCCAUUCAUUAACUAGCUUUAGUCCACGCCUCCCACUCUAUAGCAUUUAAUCGACCUCACUAUCUUCAUACGCAACCGACGGGAGGGCUCCUCCUAUAAAUUUCAACGCUCCGAGCGUUAUACAGCUCCAUCUCUGUGAAAUCUAGAAGUAUUGUCUCUGUUCAGAUUUAAAAGACAAUGUUUUGUCAUUCUCACUGAACAGGAUUGGUGGUACUGGAAUGGACAUGAGAAGCACAGCCAAGGUAAUCUUUUUAUUUUAUUUAUACGUUGAUGAAAAAGUUAGCAAAUUUCCUGUAAAAUAGAAUCAGAAUGUCAAAGCUUAAUGAUCUCUGUUUGGUUUACUUUUACACUCUCCCUGGACCUGCAACCAACUAUCAAAACUCCCAAAAAGGAACUAUGAUGGUUCCAACACUUGGUGAAGCUCCUGGGGAAGAUAGUGAAGUGAUCUUAUAGUAAGGCCUCUCCUGCAAACCAACCUUGCAGAUUAUACCAUCAGCUCCUGCAAACAACAAACAACACAUGCCACAAUGCAUUUGUUGAAAGGCACAAUAGAGGAGGAAGCGAAAGCUAAGAAAAUUAAUAUCACCGUAAGCAGUCUGCAAAUCCCAUUGAUUUCCUCCUUUAAUCCCAGCGGUUUGAUGGACAUAUAGCAUAUAGAAACAUCGUCUGAAAGCUGCAACCAAAUCUGAUUCGUCUUCCCAAAUCAGAGCUCCUGUAUAACAGACUCCAAAGUUUUAAAGUUCGAGAUUGUCUAACAAAAUCUCCUCUUUAUCACGCUCCGACAAACCAGACCCAGGUUGUGAUGUCAGUCGGCCAUGGUUAAACAAUAACGUUUUGAGCAGUAGCAGCACUCAAGUUGUAAAUGCCCCAAAAGAUCCUUUGAGAAAGAUGGCCCGAAGGAACAUGAUGUGGUUGUGCAAAUCCAAGCUUCUUACACUCAAUAUGAAAGGUGAACAGGCUGAGGCACACACUCAGUCAAAAUUUAUAAUGAAGCUGGUGAGUAUAAAACGGCAUUGCUUUG